UACGUAGGUGGCGAGCGUUGUCCGGAUUUACUGGGCGUAAAGCGCGCGCAGGCGGCAGUCUAAGUCCUCUGUGAAAUCACCCGGCUCAACUGGGUGGCUGCGGAGGAGACUGGGCAGCUUGAGGGGCCUAGAGGCCGGUGGAACUCCCGGUGUAGUGGUGAAAUGCGUAGAUAUCGGAAGGAACACCUGUGGCGAAAGCGGCUCACUGGACCAUAACUGACGCUGAGGCGCGAAAGCUAGGGGAGCAAACAGG
rnacentral:rRNA from 1 species